GCUGCGGUGCCAGAGUGGACAAUUGGAAUGGUCUGUAAAACCAUCGCCCGAAAGGGCUACGAAGGUUCGAAUCCUUCCCGCAGCA
rnacentral:tRNA from 1 species